GGUCUCUAGCUCCAGUGUGAAUAACUCAAGGUUUGACCUUAGUUGGUUGUACCUGGCAUUGACGGUGUUUCCGCACCUGUCCCUUGUUGAAGGCAUUGCUUCGAGAUUGCUCGGACCUGCUCUUCGGGGUGAAAACCCUUGAUCUAUCCCUAUCGGUUUGGAUCCGGUGAUGACGGCGAUCAGACGUCGUUACUUUUCCUGGAGGCGUCGCCUAUGAAGAACCUUUCUUGUUGUCUAGGUGCUGCCUCGGCGGUGUUUGUGGUUGUUGUUGUUGUGUGUCGUCGUCGCUUUGGUCCUUUGUUUCUUUUUCUUUUUUGGCUGUGUGCACACUCAUUGUCCCGUGUGCUUGACAGUGGUUGUUUCAUAGGCCGGGUGUACUUGAUAUCUUCUGAAUAUUAAUAUAUUGCCCGUAAAAAAAAAUAAGUAACCGUAAAUAAAUCUUUUGCAACUCGUUUGGCAUCCAUCAUUUGGGCAUAGAAUUCUGUAACUUAUUUAAAAUUCUAGAAACCAGUUUGUGUGACUUCCACAG
rnacentral:lncRNA from 1 species